AUUGAACGCUGGCGGCAGGCCUAACACAUGCAAGUCGAGCGAGCGGCGGACGGGUGAGUAAUGUCUGGGAAACUGCCUGAUGGAGGGGGAUAACUACUGGAAACGGUAGCUAAUACCGCAUACCAUCAGAUGUGCCCGGAUGGGAUUAGCUAGUAGGUGGGGUAAUGGCUCACCUAGGCGACGAUCCCUCGCGGGUCUGAGAGGAUGACCAGCCAAAGGGGAAUGGGGAACGGGUCCAGACUCCUACGGGGGGAAGCAGGGGGAAAUAUGGAACAAGGGGGGCAGGCCGGAUGCAGCAAGGCGGGGUGUGGGAAGAAGGCCUUCGGGUUGAAAAGCACUUUAAGCGGGGAGGCGUGCCCGCAGAAGAAGCACCGGCUAACUCCGUGCCAGCAGCCGCGGUAAUAC
rnacentral:rRNA from 1 species